rnacentral:rRNA from 1 species
AUUGAACGCUGGCGGCAGGCCUAACACAUGCAAGUCGAGCGAGCGGCGGACGGGUGAGUAAUGUAUGGGGACUGCCCGAUAGAGGGGGAUAACUACUGGAAAAGGUGGCUAAUACCGCAUCCUGUCGUAUAACUCAUAUGGGAUGAGCUAGUAGGUAAGGUAAUGGCUUACGCAGGCGACGAUCCCUAGCUGGUCUGAGAGGAUGAUCCGACACACUGGGACUGAGACACGGCCCAGACUCCUACGGAGGCAGCAGUGGGGAAUAUUGCACAAUGGGCGCAAGCCUGAUGCAGCCAUGCCGCGUGUAUGAAGAAGGCCCUAGGGUUGUAAAGUACUUUCAGUCGGGAGGCGUUACCGACAGAAGAAGCACCGGCUAACUCCGUGCCAGCAGCCGCGGUAAUUC